UACGUAGGGUACAAGCAUUAAUCGGAUUUAUUGGGCGUAAAGGGCGCGUAGGCGGAGAUGCAAGUCAGAUGUGAAAUCCCGGGGCUCAACCUCGGAACAGCAUUUGAAACUACAUCCCUAGAGGGUAGGCGGAGAAAACGGAAUUCCACAAGUAGCGGUGAAAUGCGUAGAUAUGUGGAAGAACACCAGUGGCGAAGGCGGUUUUCUAGCUUAUACCUGACGCUGAGGCGCGAAAGCAAGGGGAGCAAACAGG
rnacentral:rRNA from 1 species